rnacentral:rRNA from 1 species
CUACGGGCGGCACCAGUGGGGGAUAUUGGACAAUGGGGGAAACCCUGAUCCAGCAAUGCCGCGUGUGUGAAGAAGGCCUGCGGGUUGUAAAGCACUUUCGGUUGGGAGGACUGCUUCUAGCACUAAUAUUGUUGGAAGUUGACGUUACCUUCAGAAGAAGCGCCGGCUAACUCCGUGCCAGCAGUCGCGGUAAUACGGAGGGUGCAAGCGUUAAUCGGAAUUACUGGGCGUAAAGCGCGCGUAGGCGGCUAGAUCAGUCGGGUGUGAAAGCCCCGGGCUUAACCUGGGAACUGCAUCCGAUACUGUCUAGCUUGAGUACAGGAGAGGAGAGUGGAAUUCCACAUGUAGCGGUGAAAUGCGUAGAUAUGUGGAGGAACACCAAUGGCGAAGGCAGCUCUCUGGCCUGAUACUGACGCUGAGGUGCGAAAGCGUGGGGAGCAAACAGGAUUAGAUACCCCUGUAGUC